rnacentral:rRNA from 1 species
GAUGAACGCUGGCGGCGUGCCUAAUACAUGCAAGUCGAGCGGACGGACGCUGCUCUCACUUCUCUCAUGUUACCAGCGGACGGGUAACUCACACGUGGAUUACCUACUUCUUUGACUUGGGCCUCUUCGGGAAACCCGAGUUCUUACCGGAUCAUUUUUUGAACCGCUUUGUUCAAAAGUGAAAUACCGUCUUGCUGUCACCUCUAGACGUAUCCGCGCUUCAUUAGCUAGUUGGCAAAGUAACGGCUUACCAAGUCUACGGUGCAUAAACGGCCUGAGAGGGUGAUCGGCCAGACAGGGACUGAGACACGGUCGGGACUGCGACGGGAGGCAGCAGUAGGGAGGCGGCAGCAGUGGGCGAAAGCCUGACGGAGCAACACCGCGGGAGUGGUGAAGGUCCGCGGAUCGUAAAGCUCUGUUAUUAGUGAAGAACAUAUGGGUAAGUAAAUGUGCACGUCGUGACGGUACCUAAACAGAAAGCCACGGCUAACUACGUG